GUCAACUACCCCCACCUAAGAGGUGAGGGCUUGAAAAAGCCUUAGUUGAUUAGCCUAAGCAUUAAGUUACUACGUUAUUUUAGAAUAUAUAGUUACCCUAGAAUGCUCCACAAGUUCUAGGCUCUAAGGUUAGUGAUUAAACAUCUUUGAG
rfam:Epulopiscium sp. Nuni2H_MBin001 Nuni2HMBin001_56, whole genome shotgun sequence.